rnacentral:rRNA from 1 species
UGAGAUGUUGGGUUAAGUCCCGCAACGAGCGCAACCCCUACGUUUAGUUGCUAACGCGUGAAGGCGAGCACUCUAGACGAACUGCCGUUGACAAAACGGAGGAAGGUGGGAUGACGUCAAAUCAUCAUGCCCCUUAUGUUCUGGGCUACACACGUGCUACAAUGGCCGGUACAGACGGAGGCGAAGCCGCGAGGCGGAGCAAAUCCGAAAAAGCCGGUCUCAGUUCGGAUUGCAGGCUGCAAUUCGCCUGCAUGAAGUCGGAAUCGCUAGUAAUCGCAGGUCAGCAUACUGCGGUGAAUACGUUCCCGGGCCUU